CGCACGCCCACUAUGUGAAAACUGAAUCGUUUCUCUCUCCAAAUCUCACAAUCCGAUCAUCAGCGGUUUCUCCCAAAAUCGGUUUCUCCGUCAGCGAUUUCUGUUUCUCUUCUUUACUGGGUGCGAUUGCCCCAUUAGCGGUUUCUCCCAAAAUCGGUGCUUGAAGUUUGCUGCCAGUCAGCCUCCGUCUUCUACAUCCGAUCGAUUUGUGUUUCAUUACUGGACUCUCGAAGGAAAUUUGUAGAAGCUCAAAAUGAUCAUUGUAGAAGAGGAGGUUACUCGAAGGAAAUCUGUAGAAACUCAAAAUAAGUUUGUGGAUGACGUAAUGAGUACGUCAACAUGCCACUUUGAAGAGGCGCAAAGAAGGGAUCUGCUGAUGUUGAAAAGUUGGUUGCAAAGUACCCCAAACCAUGAAUGGUGAAUAAUAUUGUCUUAGGAAAAUGAAUGCCAAUGUUUUUGGUUCAAAAACUUUUGAGUAAACUAACUCUUGAUGGUCGAUGAGUGUUGGUUUCUUUUGGUGUAUACAUUGAUGGUUUUUGGAUUA